UAAUAGUGUAUAUUAAAGUUGUUGCAGUUAAAAAGCUCGUAGUUGAAUGUUGGUGUCGAACGAGCGGACAGCUUCGGCUGUACUGCUCUCUCGACUCCUUCCUUCUGUGGACUACGUCGCACUUUACUGUGUGGCGCUAGGACGCAGAUCGUUUACUGUGAAAAAAUUAGAGUGUUCAAAGCAGGCCGUACGCUUGAAUACAUUAGCAUGGAAUAAUGGAAUAGGACGUCGGGCCUAUUUUGUUGGUUCUAGGACCGUCGUAAUGAUUAAUAGGGACAGUUGGGGCCGUUUAUAUUCCGUAGUCAGAGGUGAAAUUCUUGGAUUUACGGAAGAUAAACUACUGCGAAAGCAUUCGGCAAGGAUGUUUNCGUUA
rnacentral:rRNA from 1 species